AGUGAACGCUGGCGGUAGGCCUAACACAUGCCAGUCGAACGGCAGCACAGUAAGAGCUUGCUCUUACGGGUGGCGAGUGGCGGACGGGUGAGGAAUACAUCGGAAUCUACUUUUUCGUGGGGGAUAACGUAGGGAAACUUACGCUAAUACCGCAUACGACCUACGGGUGAAAGCAGGGGAUCUUCGGACCUUGCGCGAUUGAAUGAGCCGAUGUCGGAUUAGCUAGUUGGCGGGGUAAAGGCCCACCAAGGCGACGAUCCGUAGCUUGUCUGAGAGGAUGAUCAGCCACACUGGAAGUGAGACACGGUACAGACUCCUACGGGAGGAAGCAGUGGGGAAUAUUGGACAAUGGGCGCAAGCCUGAUCCAGCCAUACCGCGUGGGUGAAGAAGGCCUUCGGGUUGUAAAGCCCUUUUGUUGGGAAAGAAAAGCAGCAGGUUAAUACCCCGCUGUUCUGACGGUACCCAAAGAAUAAGCACCGGCUAACUUCGUG
rnacentral:rRNA from 1 species